rnacentral:rRNA from 1 species
UACGGGGGGAGCAAGCGUUGUUCGGAUUUACUGGGCGUAAAGGGCGCGUAGGCGGCGCGAUAAGUCAAAGGUGAAAUCCCUCGGCUCAACUGAGGAACUGCCUUUGAGACUGUCGAGCUUGAGGCCGGGAGGGGGUAGCGGAAUUCCCAGUGUAGCGGUGAAAUGCGUAGAUAUUGGGAGGAACACCAGUGGCGAAGGCGGCUACCUGGACCGGUUCUGACGCUGAUGCGCGAAAGCGUGGGUAGCAAACAGG